CCCUUAGAUGUCCUGGGCUGCACGCGCGCUACACUGAAAGUUACGGAUUGACCUUUUACCUUGUCCGAAAUGGUCCGGGUAAUCACCUAAAAGCUUGUCAUAAUUGGAAUGGAUUAUUGUAACUAGUAAUCCUGAACGAGGAAUUCCUAGUAAGUCCCAGUCAACAGCUGGUACUGAUUACGUCCCUGCCCUUUGUACACACCGCCCGUCGCGCCUACCGAUUGAAUGGUCCGGUGAGGACUCGGGAUUGUGACCAGUUUCCUUCAUUGGGAGUUGGUUGUGAGAACUUGUCCAGACCUUAUCAUUUAGAGGAAGGUGAAGUCGUAACA
rnacentral:rRNA from 1 species